UUAAUUUUCAAAAAAUUAUCGUUUUUUGCUUCUUUAAAAAUUAAGUUUAUUUUAAAUUCCGCCACGGGCGAAAACAUGUCUAUUCUGGAAAACUCCAAAAUACGCUUAUUUCUGAGCGUGAACAAUUUAAAAUUAGUCUUAAGGUGCGUUUAUGCUUUCUGAUUAAUUGUAGCGAUCUCUAAGAGAAUUGAUAACCGACGGGUUUUUAGUUCCCGUCCGCGUUACAUUCGCGUCGCCAUAGCGUUCGCUAUGCAAUUCGCCAUGCGGGUUUAUGCAUUAUUUCCUCCUUCAUUUCACGGCACCUUCACGAUCACCAUGAAAGUUGAACUCUUUUCAACUUUUGCACGCACGAAGGAGAGAGGAAAUUUUUAGAAAUCACGAUAAUUUUAUAAAUAUUUACGAUUUUUGAGUCAAAAUUUUACAAAAUGACCACAAAAGUGAUAUCUGCGCCCAAAUCUCCACUGGAUUUGGAAGAAAAGUUAAUUCUUCUGGUUCAGCAACGUCCUGCACUGUACGACAAAAAGGAUCAUGCAUACAAAAACAGAAACACUCGUGCAUUGAUGUGGGAGGAAAUUGGAAAAAUCCUUCUAAAGACAGGUCAGUUUACUGCAAAGUCAAAAUUCUCACUUCCAUGAGCUCUAAACAUUUAAUUUUUCAGAAACUGAGUGUCAGCAACUUUGGACAAAAUUGCGCAGCCAAUUCAGCGGAUUCCUACGAAAAUUGCGCAAUCCAAGUGGAAUGGAAGACAAGCCGCGUCCUUUUUUCCGGCACGAGGGAUCAAUGCGGUUCAUCCGUGACACUGUUGACCCGGAUGAAAGUACUGUCUCCAACCUUGUGAACGAAGAUGAUUCAUCUUUUGUGGAAAUGUGUGGACCGGGGUCAGAGAUCCAGAUUGAAGUGGUUGACGUGGACAAACUCCCCGACGAUUUUGAUCCACUAUCAACUGAAGUGAAGAGCUGACAACGACAACCUCUGCACUUGUACCACGGUCACAACCAGCUCUAGCUUCGAAGAAACGAAAAUUGGAUGCAUUUGACAAGGAGAUGUUGGAUUUGCUCAAAUCAAACGACGAUGAGCACGACAGCUUUGGAAAAAUGCUGGCCCCUAAGCUGCGGAGAAUUGCAGAAUUGGACAGAAAAGUAUUUCUCAAUCUUCAGCGUAAAAUUAAUGAUGCAGUGCUUGAUGCAGAGAUAGAAAUUCUUGCUUAAUUAUUCAUCUUUCGCGUAAUCUUAAAAUUUUAAAAAUGUCGGCUUGUUGUUUAUUUAACGGUUGCAAUAAUAAAAAUUUUACUUUGAGAAUGAUGACAAAUAAUUACAAAUGAGAAUUGAUUAACAAAGGCAAAGUAUAUCAAAUGAUGCACUUUUACAGAUAAAUUACGAAAUUCUUGACAUUUGCCAUGAAACACUUCCCUCAUUACUAUUAAAGUAUUCUAAAAAUCUGUCCCGUACAACUACUGCUUCUUGACGCCGGUUAUUGCUGCCCUGUUGUCGCAAAGAGAUCAUUCCCGUGUCCCCAGUGGUAGUCUCCCUCCAGUUUCCCGUGGUGUUCCCAUCAUCUGAAUCCGCGGUGAUCGUAUUCAUGUCCUGCUUAUCGAUGAGGAAAUUAUGGAGAAUUACAGCGGCUUGAAUUACGAGCCUGGUUAAAUCAAGUGAUGCAACUAUUGGCGUAUGAAAGAUUCUCCAUCUUGCAGCUAACAUCCCGAACGCAUUCUCCGACACAUUUCUUGCUCGAGAGGGUCGGUAAUUGUAAAUCCGGCGCUCCAGAGUGAGAAAUUUUCCUGGGAAUGGCUUCAUCAUGUACGGUUUCAAGGCAAACGCAUCAUCAGCGACGAUAACAUGAGGCUGGAGGUGAGGUCCAACUAUCUUUGCCUCUGGUAGCCCCAGCUUUCCAUUUUCAAGUCUCCUCCCAAUUUCGGACCUUCCAAAAACGCCUCCAUCUGACUGCGAACCCGAUGCUCCAAUAUCCACUGCAGAAAAUUUGUAUUGGUGGUCGACGACAGCCAUGAGCACAAUUGAGAAAAAUCCUUUAUAGUUGUGGUAUGUGGACCCUGUAAAAUUUGGGGCUUGGAUUCUGCAAUGCUUCCCGUCCACAGCGCCCACACAAUUAGGAAAAUUCCACCGAGUUCGGAAGCCAAUCUCAUUGUUUAUCCAUUGAUCUGUUGUUGGUGGUGGUAGGUGAAUGGGCCCGAAGAUUUUCACAAUUGCUUUCAAAACUUCGCGUAGAAUCUUCGAAACUGAGGAAGGCGAGAUUCUAUAACUGAAGGAGAGAGAUAUUUGGGAAGCUCCUGUAGCAAGAAAUCUAGUAGAAAGAGAAGUCAUUUUCACGUACCACUGAAUUAUAUUUAAUUAUGACUAAUUACCUUAAAGUUAUCUCAAGCUUUUCUUCGACAGAAAUUGGUCGGCUAUGGGUCAUUUUCCCUGUAAUUUCCCCACUAAUCAGCAUCAAAAUCUGGUCAAAGUUUUCCAUAUUCAUCCUGUAAAAUAUAUUGCAAGUUUGAUAUAUUGAGAAGAAUAGCUAUGCAUGAUCAUUUUACCGAAAAUAACAGUGAUGAUAAUGAGGAUCUUCACGCAAUUCUUUCAUCAGAACGCUGUCCCCCUGGUCCACUCGAUUCCAGAACAUUGGCCGAAUUGCAGCACCUCGCACCUUUCGCUUCAGUUUUCGUCGAAGUUUCCGGAGGAUCAUGAUUUUGGCAAUUAAACGUCGAUCGGGGGCCGGCAUAAUGAUUUUAAUGAGAUUAUGAAAUGACUAUGAUUUUUACGGAUUUUUACUUUCCUUUCGAUGACCGAUAGCAAAAACGAGCGUUGAGAGAAAGCGAUCGUAAAAACUACAGAAAGUGUAAACCCGUUAUGAAGGAAGGAACGCUAACGCUAUGGCGACGUUAUGUAACGAGGACGUUAAGCAUAAACCAUACUUUACAAUGCAUUGCAGCGAACUACAGUUGUAGUUUUUGCAGAUAUAUAGUUUUUGGUAAUGUGCAUAAAUAAAUGGUUCGUGUUAAAAUUUUGUAAAAUAAAAUUUUGACUUGUAUGCAUGUGUGUAUUUGGUCUUGAAAAUUUUUCCGC